rnacentral:rRNA from 1 species
GACGAACGCUGGCGGCGUGCUUAACACAUGCAAGUCGAACGGAAAGGCGCGGGUAUCGUGGGGUGCUCGAGUGGCGAGCGGGUGAGUAACACGUGAGUAACCUGGCCUUGAGUGGGGGAUAACUCCAGGAAAAUGGUGAUAAUACCGGCGAGGUGCUGCUGCUGCAGGGGGGGGGUUGGAAAGUGUCGGCGGUGGGGGAUGGACGCGAGGCUUAUCAGCUUGUUGGUGGGGUAGUGGCUUACCCGGGCUUUGACGGAUAGCCGGCCUGAGAGGGUGACCAGCGACAUGGGUACUGCGAGACGGACCAGACUGCAACGGGAGGCAGCAGGCGGGAAUAUUGCACAGUCGGCGCAAGCCUGAUACAGCAACGUCGCGUGCGGGAUCACGGCCUUCGGGUUGUAAACCGCUUUCGGCUGUGACGUAGCGUGCGUGACGGUAAUGGGUAAAGAAGCACCGGCUAACUACGUG